rnacentral:tRNA from 1 species
CAAGAAAAGGUCAGGAUAGCUCAGUUGGUAGAGCAGAGGACUGAAAAUC